AUUGAACGCUGGCGGCAGGCCUAACACAUGCAAGUCGAGCGGAUGAAGGGAGCUUGCUCCUGGAUUCAGCGGCGGACGGGUGAGUAAUGCCUAGGAAUCUGCCUGGUAGUGUGGGAUAACGUCCGGAAACGGGCGCUAAUACCGCAUACGUCCUGAGGGAGAAAGUGGGGGAUAUUCGGACCUCACGCUAUCAGAUGAGCCUAGGUCGGAUUAGCUAGUUGGUGGGGUAAGGGCCUACCAAGGCGACGAUCCGUAACUGGUCUGAGAGGAUGAACAGUCACACUGGAACGGAGACACGGUCGAGACUCCUACGGGAGGCAGCAGUGGGGGAUAUUUGAGGAUGGGCGAAGGCCUGAUCCUGCCAUGCCGCGUGUGUGAAUAAGGUCUUCGGGUUGUAAAACACAGUAAGUUGGGAGGAAGGGCAGUAAUUUAAUACCUUACUGUUUUGACGUUACCAACAGAAUAAGCACCGGCUAACUUCGUG
rnacentral:rRNA from 1 species